rnacentral:lncRNA from 1 species
ACAGGACUUAAUUCUGUUCCUCAUCCACCCAGAACCCUCCCUGAGGGCCUCCCCUGCACUUUGGAAACAGCCCAAGCUUUGAAAUCAGGAAGUUUGAAGACUGGUUCUGCUACUUCCAGGCUGUGUGGCCUUGGGAUGCCGUGCCUGCGUUUGUGCGGUUGAAGGAAAGGAGGAAAAUGAGAAGGGCCAAGAUUGACCUGACUUGAUUUACGGGAAAGAAGAGACAGUUGCUGGAGGAAGAAGGACCCAUCCACUGGAAAAGGAUGAGAA